CAAAUUCUACAUGGGGGUCUCUUCGGGCUGAUAUGGGUCACCAGGAACCAUUUAACUUGAAGCAUGUUGCUAUCGGGAAUCAAGACUUUGGGCGACUGUCAAUAUGUUCCCUAUAAAGAAUAUUACUAAUUGACCCAAAAUGACCCAUUUAUAAGUAUAUAGCCAUUCAAUACUUCUGGUGGAGAUACCCAUGGGCUUUUAACUGCUGUGAGCUGAAAACUAAGAGCUAUGUAUGGGAAGAUGGAUGAUAUUAUCGACGUGAUGAAAAAGUAAAUGGUUGAUUUGGUUAGGAACUGUAACCUAUAUAUGUGUUUUGAUGAAGAACACGUGCACAAAUUUAGAAAUAUGUAAUGUCGAUUCAACAAACGCCGUCGCCAAAAUUGAUGCAUCUAAAGUCGUUGCAAAGGUAUAAGCGGAAGAGGUAAUUGCUUCCAUAAGUUUGUCUCUGAUCAAGUUAUAGAUUGAAUGUGUUUUUCUUUGAUAUCUACUUCGCUGCAAGUUCUCGGUUCUCUUUGUUCGCGGUCUCCUCCAAUCAGUUGCAAAGUGUUCGUGGAAAGCAAUGGUCUAGAAUAAAAGCUUAUGAAAUCAAGCCCAUGUCAAGUCAUUUUCUACUCUGGAGAGAAAAGUGUAGGUUGGUUGCAAAUAUAUAUUUGAAUUUUUGUUUAUUCAGAACUUUGAUUAGAUAUGUAUU